rnacentral:rRNA from 1 species
GACGAACGCUGGCGGCGUGCUUUAUACAUGCAAGUCGAACGAUGAAGUUCCUUCGGGAAUGGAUUAGUGGCGAACGGGUGAGGAACACGUGAGAAACCUGCCUUUCAUUCUGGGAUAACACCGGGAAACCGGUGCUAAUACCGAAUACUCCGUCUUGGCGGCAUCGCCGAGCCGGGAAAAAAUUUUGAUGAAAGAUGGUCUCGCGGCCUAUCAGCUAGUUGGUGAGGUAAAGGCUCACCAAGGCGACGACGGGUAGCCGGCCUGAGAGGGCGACCGGCCACACUGGGAGUGAGACACGGCCCAGACUCCUACGGGAGGCAGCAGUAGGGAAUAUUGGGCAAUGGGCGCAAGCCUGACCCAGCGACGCCGCGUGAGGGAUGAAGGUCUUCGGAUUGUAAACCUCUUUCAGUAGGGAAGAAGCGAAAGUGACGGUACCUAAAGAAGAAGCACCGGCCAAAUAUGUGCCAGCCGCCGCGGUAA